GACGAACGCUGGCGGCGUGCUUAACACAUGCAAGUCGAACGGAAAGGCCCUGCUUUUGUGGGGUGCUCGAGUGGCGAACGGGUGAGUAACACGUGAGUAACCUGCCCUUGACUUUGGGAUAACUUCAGGAAACUGGGGCUAAUACCGGAUAGAAGCUCCUGCUGCAUGGUGGGGGUUGGAAAGUUUCGGCGGUUGGGGAUGGACUCGCGGCUUAUCAGCUUGUUGGUGGGGUAGUGGCUUACCAAGGCUUUGACGGGUAGCCGGCCUGAGAGGGUGACCGGCCACAUUGGGACUGAGAUACGGCCCAGACUCCUACGGGAGGCAGCAGUGGGGAAUAUUGCACAAUGGGCGGAAGCCUGAUGCAGCAACGCCGCGUGCGGGAUGACGGCCUUCGGGUUGUAAACCGCUUUCGCCUGUGACGAAGCGUGAGUGACGGUAAUGGGUAAAGAAGCACCGGCUAACUACGUGCCAGCAGCCGCGGUGAUACGUAGGGUGCGAGCGUUGUCCGGAUUUAUUGGGCGUAAAGGGCUCGUAGGUGGUUGAUCGCGUCGGAAGUGUAAUCUUGGGGCUUAACCCUGAGCGUGCUUUCGAUACGGGUUGACUUGAGGAAGGUAGGGGAGAAUGGAAUUCCUGGUGGAGCGGUGGAAUGCGCAGAUAUCAGGAGGAACACCAGUGGCGAAGGCGGUUCUCUGGGCCUUUCCUGACGCUGAGGAGCGAAAGCGUGGGGAGCGAACAGGCUUAGAUACCCUGGUAGUCCACGCUGUAAACGGUGGGUACUAGGUGUGGGGUCCAUUCCACGGGUUCCGUGCCGUAGCUAACGCUUUAAGUACCCCGCCUGGGGAGUACGGCCGCAAGGCUAAAACUCAAAGGAAUUGACGGGGCCCCGCACAAGCGGCGGAGCAUGCGGAUUAAUUCGAUGCAACGCGUAGAACCUUACCUGGGUUUGACAUGGAUCGGGAGUGCUCAGAGAUGGGUGUGCCUCUUUUGGGGUCGGUUCACAGGUGGUGCAUGGCUGUCGUCAGCUCGUGUCGUGAGAUGUUGGGUUAAGUCCCGCAACGAGCGCAACCCUUGUUCACUGUUGCCAGCACGUUAUGGUGGGGACUCAGUGGAGACCGCCGGGGUCAACUCGGAGGAAGGUGGGGAUGACGUCAAGUCAUCAUGCCCCUUAUGUCCAGGGCUUCACGCAUGCUACAAUGGCUGGUACAGAGAGUGGCGAGCCUGUGAGGGUGAGCGAAUCUCGGAAAGCCGGCCUCAGUUCGGAUUGGGGUCUGCAACUCGACCUCAUGAAGUCGGAGUCGCUAGUAAUCGCAGAUCAGCAACGCUGCGGUGAAUACGUUCCCGGG
rnacentral:rRNA from 1 species